AAUACGGGCGAGAGACCG
rnacentral:snRNA from 1 species